rnacentral:rRNA from 1 species
GUCACUGCUAUUGGGAUUCGACUAAGCCAUGCGAGUCGAGAGGGUUCGGCCCUCGGCUGACGGCUCAGUAACACGUGGAUAAUCUGCCCUUAGGUGGAGGAUAAUCUCGGGAAACUGAGGAUAAUACUCCAUAGAUCUAGGAUGCUGGAAUGCAUUUAGAUUGAAAGCUCCGGCGCCUAAGGAUGAGUCUGCGGACUAUCAGGUUGUAGUCAGGGUAAAGACCUGACUAGCCUACGACGGAUACGGGUUGUGAGAGCAAUAACCCGGAGACGAUAUCUGAGACACGAUAUCGGGCCCUACGGGGCGCAGCAGGCGCGAAAACUUCACACUGUGCGAAAGCGCGAUGAGGGAAUCCCAAGUGUUUGCUCGUAAGAGUAAACUGUUUCUUUGUUUAAAACGCAGAGAGAGUAAGGGCUGGGUAAGACGGGUGCCAGCCGCCGCGGUAAUACCUGCAUCUCAAGUGGUGAUUAUUAUUAUUGGGCCUAAAACGUCCGUAGCCGGUUUAGUAAAUGCCUGGGUAAAUCGUGUAGCUUAACUAUACGACUUCCGGGUAGACUGCUAAACUUGAGACCGGGAGAGGCUAGAGGUACUCCUGGGGUAGAGGUGAAAUUCUGUAAUCCUAGGGGGACCACCAGUGGCGAAGGCGUCUAGCUAGAACGGGUCUGACGGUGAGGGACGAAGCCCUGGGGCACAAACCGGAUUAGAUACCCGGGUAGUCCAGGGUGUAAACGCUGCUUGCUUGAUGUUAGUUGGGCUCCGAGCCCAACUAGUGUCGGAGAGAAGUUGUUAAGCAAGCUGCCUGGGAAGUACGGUCGCAAGGCUGAAACUUAAAGGAAUUGGCGGGGGAGCACAGCAACGGGUGGAGCGUGCGGUUUAAUUGGAUUCAACGCCGGA